GAUUUCUGGUCUGGUGCGCCUGGCCCACGGCGUUAGCUAGUGAGUGCUGGGUCGCGCCUGCCAUCCUUCUAGUAAACAUAGCUACCUUUCACUAGGCUGGUUAUGCGAACUAGAUCUUUUACUUUGAAAAAAUUAGAGUGUUUCAAGCAGGCUUUAUGCUAUGAAUACAUUAGCAUGGAAUAAUAAUUUAGGACUUCGGUUCUAUUUUGUUGGUUUCUAGGACUGAAGUAAUGAUUGAUAGGGAUAGUUGGGGGUGCUAGUAUUCAGCGGCCAGAGGUGAAAUUCUCGGAUUCGCUGAAGACUAACUUAUGCGAAAGCAUU
rnacentral:rRNA from 1 species